rnacentral:rRNA from 1 species
GACAGAGGGACCUAGCGUUGUUCGGAAUGACUGGGCGUAAAGGGUGCGUAGGUGGUUGCUUAAGUAGAGUGUUAAAGCCCCAGGCUUAACCUGGGAAUCGCAUUUUAAACUGGGCCACUAGAGUAUGGAAGAGGAAAGCGGAAUUCCUAGUGUAGAGGUGGAAUUCGUAGAUAUUAGGAGGAACACCAGAGGCGAAAGCGGCUUUCUGGUCCAUUACUGACACUGAGGCACGAAAGCGUGGGGAGCAAACAGG